GACGAACGCUGGCGGCGCGCCUAACACAUGCAAGUCGAACGGAGCUUAGAGAGCUUUGCUUUUUAAGCUUAGUGGCGAACGGGUGAGUAACGCGUGAGUAACCUGCCCUAGAGUGGGGGACAACAGUUGGAAACGACUGCUAAUACCGCAUAAGCCCACGGUGCCGCAUGACACUGAGGGAAAAGGAUUUAUUCGCUUUAGGAUGGACUCGCGUCCAAUUAGCUAGUUGGUGAGGUAACGGCCCACCAAGGCGACGAUUGGUAGCCGGACUGAGAGGUUGAACGGCCACAUUGGGACUGAGACACGGCCCAGACUCCUACGGGAGGCAGCAGUGGGGGAUAUUGCACAAUGGGGGAAACCCUGAUGCAGCGACGCCGCGUGGAGGAAGAAGGUUUUCGGAUUGUAAACUCCUGUCGUUAGGGACGAUAAUGACGGUACCUAACAAGAAAGCACCGGCUAACUACGUGCCAGCAGCCGCGGUAAAACGUAGGGUGCAAGCGUUGUCCGGAAUUACUGGGUGUAAAGGGAGCGCAGGCGGGAAGACAAGUUGGAAGUGAAAACCAUGGGCUCAACCCAUGAAUUGCUUUCAAAACUGUUUUCUUGAGUAGUGCAGAGGUAGAUGGAAUUCCCGGUGUAGCGGUGGAAUGCGUAGAUAUCGGGAGGAACACCAGUGGCGAAGGCGGUCUACUGGGCACCAACUGACGCUGAGGCUCGAAAGCAUGGGUAGCAAACAGGAUUAGAUACCCUGGUAGUCCAUGCCGUAAACGAUGAUUACUAGGUGUUGGGGGAUUGACCCCCUCAGUGCCGCAGUUAACACAAUAAGUAAUCCACCUGGGGAGUACGACCGCAAGGUUGAAACUCAAAGGAAUUGACGGGGGCCCGCACAAGCAGUGGAGUAUGUGGUUUAAUUCGAAGCAACGCGAAGAACCUUACCAGGUCUUGACAUCCGAUGCAUAGCACAGAGAUGUGUGAAAUCCUUCGGGACAUCGAGACAGGUGGUGCAUGGUUGUCGUCAGCUCGUGUCGUGAGAUGUUGGGUUAAGUCCCGCAACGGGCGCAACCCUUAUUGCCAGUUACUACGUUAAGAGGACUCUGGCGAGACUGCCGUUGACAAAACGGAGGAAGGUGGGGAUGACGUCAAAUCAUCAUGCCCUUUAUGACCUGGGCUACACACGUACUACAAUGGCGUUAAACAAAGAGAAGCAAGACCGCGAGGUGGAGCAAAACUCAAAAACAACGUCUCAGUUCAGAUUGCAGGCUGCAACUCGCCUGCAUGAAGUCGGAAUUGCUAGUAAUCGCGGAUCAGCAUGCCGCGGUGAAUACGUUCCCGGGCCU
rnacentral:rRNA from 1 species